rnacentral:rRNA from 1 species
CCUACGGGCGGCAGCAGUAGGGGAUAUUGCACAAUGGGGGAAACCCUGAUGCAGCGACGCCGCGUGGGUGAAGAAGCGCCUCGGCGCGUAAAGCCCUGUCAGCAGGGAAGAAAAUGACGGUAUCUGACGAAGAAGCACCGGCUAACUACGUGCCAGUAGCCGCGGUAAUACGGAGGGGGCAAGCGUUACCCGGAUUCACUGGGUGUAAAGGGGGCGCAGGCGGGGUAGCAAGCCAGAUGUGAAAGCCCGGGGCUCAACCCUGGGACUGCACUUGGAACUGCGUGGCUGGAGUGCGGGAGGGGCAGGUGGAAUUCCUGGUGUAGGGGUGAAAUGCGUAGAGAUCAGGAGGAAUACCGGUGGCGAAGGCGGCCUGCUAGACUGCAACUGACGUUGAGGCGCGAAAGCGUGGGGAGCAAACAGGAUUAGAUACCCUUGUAGUC